CUCUAGAACUUUGCUACUUCCUGUGGUCCACAGACAUCAGCAUUGGCAUCACCUGGGAGUUGCUUAGAAAUGCAGAACUCAGGCUCCAUCCCAGAACUUCUGAUUCAGAGUCUGCUUUUUUGCCAGAAACCCAGGUGCCAGAUUGCCCUGCAGCUUUCAGUUUGGCUCAACGAUACAAAAUUGUUGAUAAGUCAACUGUUUUUUGACCUAUAAAGCCGCAAACAGCAAGAUCCUCCCCAAAACAGGAGUAGAAGAAGUGGGAGUGUUUUUCUAGGACCAUCAGAUAUGGGUGAUAAGACUCAGCCUGAUAAGGUGAUAAGACGCCUGAACACCUUUCAGUAAGGUGAACAUGAACUUUGGAAUGGUGACCUUACGCCAGGUACUGUGAAACCUUGAGGGUGUGCUCAGGGGAUUAAUGAUGCCAGAGGACUCCCCUGAUUGAUGGCUUAUUUGAAGGUGGCCUCCCCUCCCACCCACCUCACUCCAAGCUCCACUAGGGAGGAAAUGAAAGCAUAGCCCCUCAGGGAGCUCAGCCCUUUAUAGCCCUCCGCAAAUGUGUGGGAUUCUGGCUCAAACACUAGGGACAGUAAACCACUAUAAUCUCCUUGUCACAGUAGGGGACAUGCCUGAGACAAAUGUGGGGUCUGUUGCCCCACUCCGAGCUUCUCUCUUUCUUCUCAAAAGUACCAUUCUUACUCCUCUUUGGCUCAAGGAUACAUUCCUCUGCUCUGGGAAGGAAGGAAGGAAGGAAGGAAGGAAGGAAGGAAGGAAGGGGAGGGGGACAGACAUUCAGACAUCCUAUUUUGUCUGAAUGAGACAAAAAGAGAGGGAGAAAGAAAGAAAGAAAGAA